CCUACGGGAGGCAGCAGUGGGGGAUAUUGCACAAUGGGGGAAACCCUGAUGCAGCGACGCCGCGUGAGUGAAGAAGUUCCUCUGUAUGGAAAGCCUCAUUAGCCGGGAAGAAAAUGACAGUACUUGUCCACGCUGCCCCGGCUCACUACGUGCGAGCAGCCGCGGUAAUACGGAGGAUGCGAGCGUUAUCCGGAUUUAUUGGGUUUAAAGGGUGCGUAGGCGGGACCUUAAGUCAGCGGUAAAAUUGCGGUGCUCAACGCCGUAGAGCCGUUGAAACUGGGGUUCUUGAGUGAGCGAGAAGUAUGCGGAAUGCGUGGUGUAGCGGUGAAAUGCAUAGAUAUCACGCAGAACCCCGAUUGCGAAGGCAGCAUACCGGCGCUCAACUGACGCUGAGGCACGAAAGUGCGGGUAUCGAACAGGAUUAGAUACCCCUGUAGUC
rnacentral:rRNA from 1 species